GCCAUAUUUCUCGCUCUCCGUCCCGCCCUUCCUCCCCUUUCGCCUCCAUCGUCGCGAUCAUCGAGUCCUCCGAUCCAAGUUGCCGGCGCCUCCGAGACGGAGGCUAACUCAGUCCCCCCUGCUCCGUUGUCGACCUCCUCGUUGAUCCUCUUCCCUUCUUUCUCUCUUUCUUGUUCUAUUUAUGCUCGAGUUCCGGAUGCAUCGCUGGUUUCUCCUUGACAAGGGUUUGAUUCAUCUAGUCCCCGCUUCCGUUUACUUCUAUUUUGGUCUUUCCUCUUUAGCCUUUGUCAGAUCUGUCGGUACUAAUUGAUCCUAUGAAACUUGUGAUGGAUGGAUACAUGUUUUCUGGUUCGAUCUUAUGGCUCCAAAGAAAUCUAGGGCAUUAUUAAACUUGACCAUGAUUAGAAGAUGUUGUACUGAAUGCCACAGAGAAAUGGGAAACAUGAAGAAGUUUCUCUUGGAAACUACUUGCUUGCUGAGUUGAAAAAGAAUAUUUUACCUGUGGAGGUUGAUGGUCCAUGUGGGUGGAUAUCUGCAUCAUGCCGCUUUCAAUACUAUGAAAAUAUAUCGAUUUAUACACCUGACAAAUGGGUGCAUCUACCAAAGAUUAUGCAACCAAAAACAGCAGGAAAUCAUGACAAAAAUGGACGGUCGGAUUGUGCGCGUUUCUGCGAAAAGUAAUCCUUCAAUUUGUUGAAUAUGCUUACUGUAUAAUCCUUUAAAUAACAUGACCGUGUUAACAGGUCGACAUGCUCCGACGAGUGGAAGUAGCACGGAUGUCGCUUGCAGCCAAAUAGCACUGCCUUUUACGAAUUUGCACGGUUGGGAGGGGAACGAAGCAAUCGCGUCAACCGCGCAUUGAAGCCGGUUCGAAGGCUCGGCCGUGCUGGGAGCGACGCGUGGAUCAGGUUCACGUUUUAACCGCGCCCCCGGGCACGGCCACGCCACUGUCAACUACCGAACCCCCGUGAAAGGAAAUAGACGCGUGUAGCGAGCGGUCGACAGUAGACCAGGGACCGAGGUGGGCAUGCAGAUCAGGUGAGGGGCA